CGCGAAACCUUUACACUGCACGACAGUGCGAUAAGGGGACCCCGAGUGCGAGGGCAUACAGUCCUCGCUUUUGUGUACCGUAGGGAGGUACACGAAUAAGGGCUGGGCAAGACCGGUGCCAGCCGCCGCGGUAAUACCGGCAGCUCAAGUGAUGGCCGCUAUUAUUGGGCCUAAAGCGUCCGUAGCCGGCCGCACAAGUCCGUCGGGAAAUCCACCCGCUUAACGGGUGGGCGUCCGGCGGAAACUGUGCGGCUUGGGACCGAAAGACUCGAGGGGUACGUCCAGGGUAGGAGUGAAAUCCUGUAAUCCUGGACGGACCGCCGGUGGCGAAAGCGCCUCGAGAGGACGGAUCCGACGGUGAGGGACGAAAGCUAGGGUCUCGAACCGGAUUAGAUACCCGGGUAGUCCUAGCCGUAAACGAUGCUCGCCAGGUGUGGCGCAGGCUACGAGCCUGCGCUGUGCCGUAGGGAAGCCGUGAAGCGAGCCGCCUGGGAAGUACGUCCGCAAGGAUGAAACUUAAAGGAAUUGGCGGGGGAGCACUACAACC
rnacentral:rRNA from 1 species